rnacentral:misc_RNA from 1 species
UAUCUAGGAAGUCUGAGUUGGUUGGGGAUUCCUAAAUAUUAUUUAGUAGUAGGAUUAACAAUUCUACCAUAAAUACCUAUGUCCUUUAGGUAUUUACAUCACAAGUGCUUAGGUUUGUAUUGGAACUUUUCUUGUCUUGAUUCUAAUGAUUAUAUUCCUUAGAGAAAUUAAAUUUGAAUAUGCUUCUUUCUUUACCAUGUGCAUGUAGGUUGAAAGUUGGAAAGAUUGUUACUUAGACACAGUUCCGCUAAGUUCUAUAUCCAUGGGACCAGCAUGCAUCUGAAAAAGAUGUGGAUUUGGUGCUGCUGAAUAAAUAUGUUUGAAAUUAGAUUUGUUUGCUGAAUAAAUAUCUUUAAAGAAUGUUGGAAACAAGUGAUUACUGAUAUACUGUUCAAACAUUGCAUAUUGCUUUUGAUAAUCACUUUCAUGGUCAGUUCAUUCUUG